rnacentral:rRNA from 1 species
UACGUAUGGAGCAAGCGUUAUCCGGAUUUACUGGGUGUAAAGGGUGCGUAGGCGGCACAGCAAGUCAGAUGUGAAAGACCGGGGCUCAACCCCGGGGCUGCAUUUGAAACUGCCGAGCUUGAGUCCGGGAGAGGCAGGCGGAAUUCCUAGUGUAGCGGUGAAAUGCGUAGAUAUACGGAGGAACACCAGUGGCGAAGGCGGAUUGCUGGACGAUAACUGACGCUGAGGCGCGAAAGCGUGGGGAGCAAACAGG